rnacentral:misc_RNA from 1 species
GAUGAAGAACGUAGCGAAAUGCGAUACGUAAUGUGAAUUGCAGAAUUCAGUGAAUCAUCGAAUCUUUGAACACAUAUUGCGCUCUCUGGUAUUCCGGAGAGCAUGCUUGUUUGAGUAUCAGUAAACACCUCAACUUCCAUAUCUUUUUUGAAAUGGGAGUUGGACUUGAGUGAUCCCAACGCUUUUCCUCACCGAAAAGUGGCGGGUUACUUGAAAUGCAGGUGCAGCUGGACUUUUCUCUGAGCUAUAAGCAUAUCUAUUUAGUCUGCCUAAAAAACAGAUUAUUACCUUUGCUGCAGCUAACAUAAAGGAGAUUAGUUCUUGUGCUGACUGAUGCAGGAUUCACAAAGACAGGCUUCGGCCGACUUUGUAAACUCGAUCUCAAAUCAAGUAAGACUACCCGCUGAACUUAAGCAUAUCAAUAAGCGGAGGA